UACGUAGGGUGCGAGCGUUGUCCGGAAUUACUGGGCGUAAAGAGCUCGUAGGUGGUUUGUCGCGUUGUCCGUGAAAACUCACAACUCAAUUGUGGGCGUGCGGGCGAUACGGGCAGACUGGAGUACUGCAGGGGAGACUGGAAUUCCUGGUGUAGCGGUGGAAUGCGCAGAUAUCAGGAGGAACACCGGUGGCGAAGGCGGGUCUCUGGGCCAUUACUGACGCUGAGACGCGAAAGCGUGGGGAGCAAACAGG
rnacentral:rRNA from 1 species